rnacentral:lncRNA from 1 species
GCACUCUAACUUUCUUAUAUCUCUAUCAAUGCCAUUCUGUCCACUUAAGAUCAAUAAGUGUUCAUAAAAUACAUGUAUUUCAGCAUGUACAACAAUAUUUACCAUAAUACCCUUAUUUACAACGUUCAGCAGUACGUUCGAGUCUUUCAGGAACCAUAAAGGUUCAAAAAAAUUCAAAUUUGGCCCAAAAUUCAAUCUUCUCAGAAAAAUCUAUAAAAAUCACAGAAAAUAAAAAACAGUAAUAUGAUUCCACAGUUGGGGACGGGAUAUGAGUAACGCGUGGGGAAUAAGAGGAAUAAAACUAUUUGACUUGGGAUG